rnacentral:rRNA from 1 species
CUACGGGGCGCACCAGUGGGGAAUAUUGGACAAUGGGGGAAAAAGUGAGACAGCAAUGCCGCGUGUGUGAAGAAGGCCCUCUUGCUGUAAAGCACUUUCGGGGGGGAGGAAUGGUUCUAGCACUAAUAUUGUUGGAAGUUGACGUUACCUUCAGAAGAAGCACCGGCUAACUCCGUGCCAGCAGCCGCGGUAAUACGGAGGUGCAAGCGUUAAUCGGAAUUACUGGGCGUAAAGCGCGCGUAGGCGGCUAGAUCAGUCGGGUGUGAAAGCCCCGGGCUUAACCUGGGAACUGCAUCCGAUACUGUCUAGCUUGAGUACAGGAGAGGAGAGUGGAAUUCCACAUGUAGCGGUGAAAUGCGUAGAUAUGUGGAGGAACACCAAUGGCGAAGGCAGCUCUCUGGCCUGAUACUGACGCUGAGGUGCGAAAGCGUGGGGAGCAAACAGGAUUAGAUACCCGCGUAGUC